rnacentral:rRNA from 1 species
UAGGGAAUCUUCCGCAAUGGGCGAAAGCCUGACGGAGCAACGCCGCGUGAGUGAUGAAGGUCUUCGGAUCGUAAAACUCUGUUAUUAGGGAAGAACAAAUGUGUAAGUAACUAUGCACGUCUUGACGGUACCUAAUCAGAAAGCCACGGCUAACUACGUGCCAGCAGCCGCGGUAAUACGUAGGUGGCAAGCGUUAUCCGGAGUUAUUGGGCGUAAAGCGCGCGUAGGCGGGUUUUUAAGUCUGAUGUGAAAGCCGACGGCUCAACCGUUGAGGGUCAUUGGAAACUGGAAGACUUGAGUGCCGAAGAGGAAAGUGGAAUUCCAUGUGUAGCAGUGAAAUGCGCAGAGAUAUGGAGGAACACCAGUGGCGAAGGCGACUUUCUGGUCUGUAACUGACGCUGAUGUGCGAAAGCGUGGGGAUCAAACAGG